CAGGUGGGACUACCCGCUGAACU
rnacentral:rRNA from 1 species